CUUGACUGUAGCCUGGAAUUGGGUUCGGGCUUUUCUUGCGCAGACUAGGUGGGAGGCGACGGAGAUUUCCUUCCGGGGAAGUUGGAGCCAUCAGUGAGAGACCACUCUGGAGAGGCUAGAAUCCUAAUGGUGAUCCUUGAAUCAGGACACUUGACAGUUUCAGGUGGGCAGUUUUUCUGGGGCGGAAGCCUCAUAGAGGGUAACUGAGGCGCGCAAAGGUCCCCUCAGUCUGGACGGAAAUCAGACAACGAGUGUAAAGGCAAAAGGGGGCUUGACUGCAAGACCUACAAGUCGAGCAGGAGCGAAAGCUGGCCUUAGUGAUCCGACGGUACCGUGUGGAAGGGCCGUCGCUCAACGAAUAAAAGUUA
rnacentral:rRNA from 1 species